rnacentral:tRNA from 1 species
AGAAAGUAAGCAAGAACUGCUAAUUCAUGCUUCCGUGCUCACACCCACGGCUUUCUU